CUACUAUCCAGUUAAUAGUAGAAUUUUUAUAAGAGUCAGAUGAAGAGAAGAAUGUUCAGUUUACUAUACUUAAUGACAGAUCACAGGGAGGAGGUAGUAUCACUGAUGGCUCAGUAGAAUUAAUGGUUCACAUGCACUUAGUUGUAGGAGAUGGUGCUGUUGGACCAUUAAAUGAGACAGGAAUGAGUGGUGAUGGUUUAAUUAUUCGUGGAAAGCACCUACUGUUGCUUGAUAAUGUGGAUAACUCAGCACAUACUCAGAGAAUGAUGGCAGAAGAACUAUUAAUGAUACCAGAACUGUCUUACUUGUAAUGUUGGAAUAAAACUUGAAGACUAUAAUCUCAAUUAAGUAUAGUGGACUCUCUGCUUCUCUUCCUGAUAAUGUUCAUGUAUUAACUCUUGAAUAUUUGGAUCAGUCAACAAUUCUUCGUUUAGAUCAUCACUUUGAGUCCAAUGAUCCUGGGAAAUGGUCAACUACUAUUGAUGUUAAACUAAGAGACUUAUUUAUUGCAUUCACAAUCAAAGAUGUAACUGAAUUAGCAUUAGGAGGAAAUGUAGCUUUAUCUGAUAUUAAAAAACUACAGUGGCAGACAUCAACUGAUGAAACAGUUCCUGGUCCUUUUAAUCCCCCUCCUGUGACUGGUCCUAAUUUUAUUGUAUCACUCUCUCCAAUGAUGAUUCGUACAUUCAACAUUACCAUUGAGCCAAAGAUUAACUGAAUGUUUUUAUAAUGUGUUUUGAUUUCAAAUUGAAUCCAUUUGCUUCUUUUGGCCUUUUUAUAUAUAUUACA